rnacentral:rRNA from 1 species
CCUACGGGGGCAGCAGUGGGGAAUAUUGGACAAUGGGCGAAAGCCUGAUCCAGCCAUGCCGCGUGUGUGAAGAAGGCCUUCGGGUUGUAAAGCACUUUCAGUGGGGAAGAAAGCCUUGGGGCUAAUACCCUCGAGGAAGGACAUCACCCACAGAAGAAGCACCGGCUAACUCCGUGCCAGCAGCCGCGGUAAUACGGAGGGUGCGAGCGUUAAUCGGAAUUACUGGGCGUAAAGCGCGCGUAGGCGGUCUGAUAAGCCGGUUGUGAAAGCCCCGGGCUCAACCUGGGAACGGCAUCCGGAACUGUCAGGCUAGAGUGCAGGAGAGGAAGGUAGAAUUCCCGGUGUAGCGGUGAAAUGCGUAGAGAUCGGGAGGAAUACCAGUGGCGAAGGCGGCCUUCUGGACUGACACUGACGCUGAGGUGCGAAAGCGUGGGUAGCAAACAGGAUUAGAUACCCUUGAGUC